rnacentral:rRNA from 1 species
UGGGGAAUAUUGGACAAUGGGCGAAAGCCUGAUCCAGCCAUGCCGCGUGUGUGAAGAAGGUCUUCGGAUUGUAAAGCACUUUAAGUUGGGAGGAAGGGCAGUUACCUAAUACGUAUCUGUUUUGACGUUACCGACAGAAUAAGCACCGGCUAACUCUGUGCCAGCAGCCGCGGUAAUACAGAGGGUGCAAGCGUUAAUCGGAAUUACUGGGCGUAAAGCGCGCGUAGGUGGUUUGUUAAGUUGGAUGUGAAAUCCCCGGGCUCAACCUGGGAACUGCAUUCAAAACUGACAAGCUAGAGUAUGGUAGAGGGUGGUGGAAUUUCCUGUGUAGCGGUGAAAUGCGUAGAUAUAGGAAGGAACACCAGUGGCGAAGGCGACCACCUGGACUGAUACUGACACUGAGGUGCGAAAGCGUGGGGAGCAAACAGGAUUAGAUACCCGCGUAGUCCCUGAGCGGGCUGGCAAGGCGCAU